UUUACUUGAAACUGUCUUAGCAUUGUUUAGAAAAAACUAUUAAAAAAUUAUUUUUCAAACAAUGGUCUUAGUCUUCACUCUUAUUAAAUAACAUAAGUUCGUUCUCGUUGCGAGACGGUAUUGUGUGUAGUAAAGUCGCAUUGUUCGUUCCGUUCUGUAAUCGUUCGUAAAUAUAUUCAGAUUUUGUGUUUGUAAUGGCAAUAAAACUUAAAAUGUUGUUUUUGUUUCAAAAUGAUAACAAAAGACAGUUUGGACAAUCGGUGCAAAGAUAAGAAAGCUAAAAAUGAGACUCUCGACGACGCUUUGUAUGUGUGGAACGCGAACGUGGUUUACAAGUGUCUGUGUGCCAAUUAUAACGGAGUUUAUCUGUAAGCAUACCAUAUUUUAAUAAUUUUUACCAUUUUCUCCGGCUAACUCGAAUUUUCGAUAACCCGGAUCGGCCGCGGUCCCGAUUAAUCCGAGUUAACGGGGUUCCACUGUAUGUUCAAAACAUUUUUUAGAAAAAGAUAUUGACAGAACUUCACUUUCAACUGUUCGUUUGAGAGACUGUGCUGUUCCAAUAGCUUAUAUCACACAGAAUCAGCUGAGAGAAGUGGUCUACAAAAAACCAGGAAGGAAAUGGAAUAUGUGGCUAUGAAAGGCAAAAGAAAGGUUUACAAAGCAAAUGUGACACAUUUUUUUAUAGGAAUAUCAGUAAAUUACAUUAAAAAAAUGUAUGAAAAGAUUUUUUGCAAUAAAAAUGUUUAUAUUUA